rnacentral:tRNA from 1 species
AUCUCGCUGGCUCAGUUGGUGGAGCGUGUGACUCCUGAUCUCAGGGUUGUGAGUUCGAUUCCCACACUGGGUG